UGCUUUCUUCAAAGUCCAUGGAAUUGAAGUGCAAUAAUCGUUGAGUAGUGCAAUUUAAAAAAUCCUUAUUUCAAAUCUUACUUAGGUCAAUUAUAAAACCACUCGUCGCGUCUAUCUGCAUGAACGUGAUAAGCUCAAAAACUGUCGGGCGGAUUUUUGUAUGGUUUUCAGUAAUAGAUAGUGUGAUUUCUGAGGAAGGUUGAGGUGUACAAUUUAUUAUGGUUUUAGAACCCCAGCGAAGCCCGGGACUGGUCGCAGUCGCAGUAUCAGCAAAAGUGAUGGAUGAAGAGAAAGACAGAAGAAAUAAUAGAAGGAGAUUGUUAGGAAUUUAAUGUUAAUGAAGGUAUGACUGGAAACAGACAGUUGUGGAAGGAGAAAAACAUUAUGCGCCGGCCCCGCAUAUCCCCAUCGGGAUUUGAUAACGGGUGCCGAGUACCAGGCGCGCAGCAGGGCGCAUAGAACGCGGCUCGUUUAGGCCUAUACCGCUGCGCUGCUACUGCCGUAUUCCGCUUCCAAAUUCAAAAUUUAAAUUAAAUAUCGAAAUGAUUUAAGUUACAAUUCAAAAUUGGAAUUUGUUUUCAUUCAAAUUAAAGCUAUUCAAUGUAUUUGUUUUAAAUACGGGUUAUC